UGGCUCAGGAUGAACGCUGGCGGUGUGCCUAAUACAUGCAAGUCGAUCGGGCGUAGCAAUACGUCAGAGGCGUACGGGUGAGUAACACGUAGGUAACCUACCUUUAAGGACUGGGAUACCCAGACGAAAGUUUGGCUAAUACCGGAUAACAACAUUUGAGACAUCUCUUUGUUUGAAAGGCGCUAGCAAGGCGCCACUUUUAGAUGGACCUGCGUCGCAUUAGCUAGUUGGUGAGAUAAAAGCCCACCAAGGCUGGGAUGCGUAGCCGAUCUGAGAGGAUGACCGGCCACAAUGGGACUGAGACACGGCCCAUACUCCUACGGGAGGCAGCAGUAGGGAGUUUUCGGCAAUGGGGGAAACCCUGACCGAGGCAACACCGCGUGAGGUGAUGAAGGUCCUUCGGAUCGUAAAGCUCUGUUACGAGGGACGAAUGAUCGGCUUUAGGAAAUGUAGAGGCGGUUUGACGGUACCUCGCCAGAAAGCGACGGCUAACCUACGUGCCAGCAGCUGC
rnacentral:rRNA from 1 species